rnacentral:rRNA from 1 species
UACGGAGGGUGCGAGCGUUAUCCGGAAUUACUGGGUUUAAAGGGUGCGUAGGCGGCUUGUUAAGUCAGGAGUGAAAGUUUGCGGCUCAACCGUAAAAUUGCUUUUGAUACUGGCAGGCUGGAAUCAGGAUGAGGUCAGCGGAAUGUGGCAUGUAGCGGUGAAAUGCAUAGAUAUGCCAUAGAACACCAAUUGCGAAGGCAGCUGGCUAGACCUGUAUUGACGCUGAGGCACGAAAGCGUGGGGAGCGAACAGG